rnacentral:sRNA from 1 species
GCUGGGUGCAGUGGUGCAUGCCUGUAAUCCCAGUAGCUUGGGAGGCUGAGGCAGGAGGAUCCUGAGUUCAAAGCCAGCCUCAG